rnacentral:rRNA from 1 species
AUUGAACGCUGGCGGCAGGCCUAACACAUGCAAGUCGAACGAGUGGCGGACGGGUGAGUCAUGCAUGGGAAUCUUGCUUAUGGAGGGGGAUAACUUUGGGAAACUGUAGCUAAUAACGCGUACAAUAGUAUGAGCCUAAGUGGGAUAAGUUAGUUGGUGUGGUAAAGGCUCACCAAGCCGACGAGCUCUAGCUGGUCCGAGAGGAGGACCAGCAACACUGGGACUGAGGCACGGCCCAGACUCCUACGGGAGGCAGCAGUGGGGAAUAUUGCGCAAUGGGGGCAACCUGACGCAGCCAUGCCGCGUGAAUGAAGAAGGCCUUCGGGUUGUAAAGUUCUUUCGGUAGCGAGGCGUUAGUGACAGAAGAAGCACCGGCUAACUCCGUGCCAGCAGCCGCGGUAAUUC